GCAAAGUUGGAAAAUAAACUGGUUGCGUGUGAUGAUAAUAAGCAUUCAUUCCGGACACAUCUAUAAUUACCCUCCUCCUCAUUAGAGUAAGAAACAUCUCGAGAACAAAUAUCCAUACAAUUUCAGGUUAAAAUGUAUGGCACAUCACAAGAUAUUUAAAAGAUGAAAAAAAAAACAGCUGGAACACUACCAGGCCAUCCUUCACAUGGUGAAGGAUCAU